UGUCACCCAGGCUGGAGUACAGUAGCACCAUCGCUGCUCACUGUAGCCUCGACCUGCUGGGCUCAGGUGAUCCUCCCAUCUCAGCCUCCUGAGUAGGGACAGACAGGCACCACCAUGAUCCGUAUCACCAGUCUGUGGGUACAAAAGGAGAGUAACAUGAACGAUUCAAAUUCCACUGGCUCUUGUUCCCAUGGAUUCACAGAAGUUCA
rnacentral:lncRNA from 1 species